rnacentral:rRNA from 1 species
UACGUAGGUUGCAAUCGUUGUCCGGAUUUACUGGGCGUAAAGAGCGCGCAGGCGGUCGUUCAAGUCGCGUGUGAAAGCCCCCAGCUCAACUGGGGAAGUGCCUCUGAUACUGCCGGCCUCGAGGGAGGUAGGGGCGCGCGGAACUUCCGGUGGAGCGGUGAAAUGCGUAGAUAUCAGGAGGAACACCGGUGGCGAAGGCGGAUCUCUGGGCCAUUACUGACGCUGAGGCGCGAAAGCUGGGGGAGCAAACGGG